AUUGAACGCUGGCGGCAUGCCUUACACAUGCAAGUCGAACGGUAACAGGUCUUCGGAUGCUGACGAGUGGCGAGCGGGUGAGUAAUACAUCGGAACGUGCCCGAGAGUGGGGGAUAACGAGGCGAAAGCUUUGCUAAUACCGCAUACGAUCGCAGGAUGAAAGCAGGGGACCGCAAGGCCUUGCGCUCACGGAGCGGCCGAUGGCAGAUUAGGUAGUUGGUGGGAUAAAAGCUUACCAAGCCGACGAUCUGUAGCUGGUCUGAGAGGACGACCAGCCACACUGGGACUGAGACACGGCCCAGACUCCUACGGGAGGCAGCAGUGGGGAAUUUUGGACAAUGGGCGCAAGCCUGAUCCAGCCAUGCCGCGUGCAGGAUGAAGGCCUUCGGGUUGUAAACUGCUUUUGUACGGAACGAAAAGACUCCUUCUAAUAAAGGGGGUCCAUGACGGUACCGUAAGAAUAAGCACCGGCUAACUACGUGCCAGCAGCCGCAGUAAGAC
rnacentral:rRNA from 1 species